rnacentral:rRNA from 1 species
GACGAACGCUGGCGGCGUGCUUAACACAUGCAAGUCGAACGGAAAGGCCCUGCUUUUGUGGGGUGCUCGAGUGGCGAACGGGUGAGUAACACGUGAGUAACCUGCCCUUGACUUUGGGAUAACUUCAGGAAACUGGGGCUAAUACCGGAUAGGAGCUCCUGCUGCAUGGUGGGGGUUGGAAAGUUUCGGCGGUUGGGGAUGGACUCGCGGCUUAUCAGCUUGUUGGUGGGGUAGUGGCUUACCAAGGCUUUGACGGGUAGCCGGCCUGAGAGGGUGACCGGCCACAUUGGGACUGAGAUACGGCCCAGACUCCUACGGGAGGCAGCAGUGGGGAAUAUUGCACAAUGGGCGGAAGCCUGAUGCAGCAACGCCGCGUGCGGGAUGACGGCCUUCGGGUUGUAAACCGCUUUCGCCUGUGACGAAGCGUGAGUGACGGUAAUGGGUAAAGAAGCACCGGCUAACUACGUGCCAGCAGCCGCGGUGAUACGUAGGGUGCGAGCGUUGUCCGGAUUUAUUGGGCGUAAAGGGCUCGUAGGUGGUUGAUCGCGUCGGAAGUGUAAUCUUGGGGCUUAACCCUGAGCGUGCUUUCGAUACGGGUUGACUUGAGGAAGGUAGGGGAGAAUGGAAUUCCUGGUGGAGCGGUGGAAUGCGCAGAUAUCAGGAGGAACACCAGUGGCGAAGGCGGUUCUCUGGGCCUUUCCUGACGCUGAGGAGCGAAAGCGUGGGGAGCGAACAGGCUUAGAUACCCUGGUAGUCCACGCUGUAAACGGUGGGUACUAGGUGUGGGGUCCAUUCCACGGGUUCCGUGCCGUAGCUAACGCUUUAAGUACCCCGCCUGGGGAGUACGGCCGCAAGGCUAAAACUCAAAGGAAUUGACGGGGCCCCGCACAAGCGGCGGAGCAUGCGGAUUAAUUCGAUGCAACGCGUAGAACCUUACCUGGGUUUGACAUGGAUCGGGAGUGCUCAGAGAUGGGUGUGCCUCUUUUGGGGUCGGUUCACAGGUGGUGCAUGGCUGUCGUCAGCUCGUGUCGUGAGAUGUUGGGUUAAGUCCCGCAACGAGCGCAACCCUUGUUCACUGUUGCCAGCACGUUAUGGUGGGGACUCAGUGGGGACCGCCGGGGUCAACUCGGAGGAAGGUGGGGAUGACGUCAAGUCAUCAUGCCCCUUAUGUCCAGGGCUUCACGCAUGCUACAAUGGCUGGUACAGAGAGUGGCGAGCCUGUGAGGGUGAGCGAAUCUCGGAAAGCCGGUCUCAGUUCGGAUUGGGGUCUGCAACUCGAUCUCAUGAAGUCGGAGUCGCUAGUAAUCGCAGAUCAGCAACGCUGCGGUGAAUACGUUCCCGGG